ACGUAGGUGGCAAGCGUUGUCCGGAAUUACUGGGCGUAAAGUGUGCGCAGGCGGCUGAGCAAGUCGAGUGUGAAAGCCCCGGGCUUAACUUGGGAAUUGCGCUCGAAACUACUUGGCUGGAGUGUGGCAGAGGAGGGUGGAAUUCCACGUGUAGCGGUGAAAUGCGUAGAGAUGUGGAGGAACACCAAUGGCGAAGGCAGCCCUCUGGGCCAACACUGACGCUCAUGCACGAAAGCGUGGGGAGCAAACAGGA
rnacentral:rRNA from 1 species